CAGCCGCGGUAACACCGGCAGCUCUAGUGGUAGCUGUUUUAUGGGCCUAAAGUGUUCGUAGCCGGUUUAAUAAGUCUCUGGUGAAAUCCUAUAGCUUAACUGUGGGAAUUGCUGGAGAUACUAUUAGACUUGAGAUCGGGAGAGGUCAGAGGUACUCCUGGGGUAGGGGUGAAAUCCUGUAAUCCUAGGAGGACCACCUGUGGCGAAGGCGUCUGACUAGAACGAAUCUGACGGUGAGGAACGAAAGCUAGGGGCGCGAACCGGAUUAGAUACCCGGGUAGUCCUAGCCGUAAACUAUGCGGACUUGGUGUGAGGGUGGCUUUGAGCCGUCCUGGUGCCGAAGGGAAGCUGUUAAGUCCGCCGCCUGGGAAGUACGGUCGCAGGACUGAAACUUAAAGGAAUUGGCGGGGGAGCACCACAACGCGUGGAGCCCUGCGGUUUAAUUGGAUUCAACGCCGGAGAUCUCACCAGCGGCGACAGCAGUAUGAUGACCAGGUUGAUGACUUUGUUUGACAAGCUGAGGGGUGGUGCAUGG
rnacentral:rRNA from 1 species